GCAAGUCCGUAGUUCAACGGUCAGAAUAGCUGUUUCUCAAGCAGUUGACCCAGGUUCGAAUCCCGGCCGACGCA